rnacentral:lncRNA from 1 species
CUUUACUACUUAAAAAUAUCAGAUCCAUGCCUUUGGCAUGCAGUCUGCUCAAUUCUAGUUUCCAUCUUUUAAUCCCAAAGUAGUACCAUAGGCUGCUGGGCUUUACUGAAUGCAACAGUUAUUUCGGUGACCAUUGGAGUCUUUAAAACGCAGGCGCAUCUUGGGGCGGUAUUUCUCCAAGUACAGAAGUUGCUUGCUAUUAAAAGCUCCACGACGUUUCUGUCUUAUGAACUGCACUGCAUCUUCAUACUUCAUUCCACAUUCUAUCAGUGCAAGAGCAACUAAGACUGGAGCUCGUCCAAGACCAGCAACACAGUGUACAGCAAUACAACAACCGGGUUCUUCACGAAAUUUAACUUUAAGGAGGUUUAGCCAAUCAUCAACAAUCUGGUUGGAUGGUGGUGCACCGUCAUCAAAGGGCCAAUCCAAAACCUGAAUGCCUUCUUUUUCCACCGGAGCAGUAUCAUAAGUAGCUUCACACACUCUUACCACUGUGGUAACACCAUAUUUCUUAAGUUCCUCUAUAAAUUUGUUUAAGGUUGCAUUGGUUGGAUUGUGUGUGAUUAGAAAUCUCAUGUUCUUGUAGGUGAUUUCCACAGGAGCUGGGCGGUUCAUUCGGGCCAUAUUAAUUUAGUUAAACAUGCAACAAGAUUAUGAAAGGAUUCAAAAAAAUCUAAUAUAGAAGUGAUGUAGAGAAACCGAAGUCUACUUCACUAUACUCCACGUGAAAUUCUCAGUGCUUGGAAGUAUGAAGUUGGG